rnacentral:rRNA from 1 species
CGGCUAAUCAGCCGGGUAGGAGGAUCGGCCCGAUCCUCCCACCCUUUGUGUACCUACCUCUGUUGCUUUGGCGGGCCGCGGUCCUCCGCGGCCGCCCCCCUCCCCGGGGGGGUGGCCAGCGCCCGCCAGAGGACCAUCAAACUCCAGUCAGUAAACGAUGCAGUCUGAAAAACAUUUAAUAAACUAAAACUUUCAACAACGGAUCUCUUGGUUCUGGCAUCGAUGAAGAACGCAGCGAAAUGCGAUAAGUAAUGUGAAUUGCAGAAUUCAGUGAAUCAUCGAAUCUUUGAACGCACAUUGCGCCCUUUGGUAUUCCGAAGGGCAUGCCUGUUCGAGCGUCAUUACAACCCUCAAGCUCUGCUUGGUAUUGGGCACCGUCCUUUGCGGGCGCGCCUCAAAGACCUCGGCGGUGGCGUCUUGCCUCAAGCGUAGUAGAACAUACAUCUCGCUUCGGAGCGCAGGGCGUCGCCCGCCGGACGAACCUUCUGAACUUUUCUCAAGGUUGACCUCGGAUCAGGUAGGGAUACCCGCUGAACUUAAGCAUAUCAAUAAGCGGAGGAA